GACGAACGCUGGCGGCGUGCUUAACACAUGCAAGUCGAACGGUGAAGCGCCUUCCUUUUUGGUGGGUGUGGAUGAGUGGCGAACGGGUGAGUAACACGUGAGUAACCUGCCCCCUUCUUCUGGAUAACCGCAUGAAAGUGUGGCUAAUACGGGAUAUUCUGGGUCUGUCGCAUGAUGGGUCUGGGAAAGAUAUUGUUUCGGUGGGGGAUGGGCUCGCGGCCUAUCAGCUGGUUGGUGGGGUGAUGGCCUACCAAGGCGGUGACGGGUAGCCGGCCUGAGAGGGUGGACGGUCACACUGGGACUGAGACACGGCCCAGACUCCUACGGGAGGCAGCAGUGGGGAAUAUUGCACAAUGGGCGCAAGCCUGAUGCAGCGACGCCGCGUGAGGGAUGGAGGCCUUCGGGUUGUGAACCUCUUUCGCCAGUGAAGCAGGCCUGCCUCGUUUGUGGGUGGGUUGACGGUAGCUGGAUAAGAAGCGCCGGCUAACUACGU
rnacentral:rRNA from 1 species